rnacentral:rRNA from 1 species
AUUGAACGCUGGCGGCAGGCUUAACACAUGCAAGUCGAGCGCGCGGCGGGGGGGUGAGUAAUGUCUGGGAAACUGCCUGAUGGCGGGGGAUAACUACUGGAAACGGUAGCUCAUACCGCAUACCAUCAGAUGUGCCCAGAUGGGAUUUGCUAGUGGGUGGGGUAAUGGCUCACCUAGGCGACGAUCCCUAGCUGGGCUGAGAGGAUGACCAGCCACACUGGAACUGAGACACGGUCCAGACUCCUACGGGAGGCAGCAGUGGGGAAUAUUGCACAAUGGGCGAAAGCCUGAUGCAGCCAUGCCGCGUGUGUGAAGAAGGCCUUCGGGUUGUAAAGCACUUUCAGCGAGGAGGCGUUACUCGCAGAAGAAGCACCGGCUAACUCCGUGCCAGCAGCCGCGGUAAUAC